rnacentral:rRNA from 1 species
GACGAACGCUGGCGGCGUGCUUAACACAUGCAAGUCGAACGGAAAGGCCCUGCUUUUGUGGGGUGCUCGAGUGGCGAACGGGUGAGUAACACGUGAGUAACCUGCCCUUGACUUUGGGAUAACUUCAGGAAACUGGGGCUAAUACCGGAUAGGAGCUCCUGCUGCAUGGUGGGGGUUGGAAAGUUUCGGCGGUUGGGGCUGGACUCGCGGCUUAUCAGCUUGUUGGUGGGGGAGUGGCUUACCAAGGCUUUGACGGGUAGGCGGCCUGGGAGGGUGGACGGCCACAUUGGGCCUGAGGUACGGCCCAGACGCCUACGGGGGGCAGCAGUGGGGAAUAUUGCACAAUGGGCGGAAGCCUGAUGCAGCAACGCCGCGUGCGGGAUGACGGCCUUCGGGUUGUAAACCGCUUUCGCCUGUGACGAAGCGUGAGUGACGGUAAUGGGUAAAGAAGCACCGGCUAACUACGUG